rnacentral:rRNA from 1 species
UACGGGGGGAGCAAGCGUUGUUCGGAUUUACUGGGCGUAAAGGGUGCGUAGGCGGCGCGGUAAGUCGGGUGUGAAAUCUCGGAGCUUAACUCCGAAACUGCAUUCGAUACUGGCGUGCUUGAGGACUGGAGAGGAGACUGGAAUUCAUGGUGUAGCAGUGAAAUGCGUAGAUAUCGUAAGGAAGACCAGUGGCGAAGGCGGGUCUCUGGACAGUUCCUGACGCUGAGGGCACGGAAGG